UAGUGGCGAACGGGUGAGUAACACGUGGGCAAUCUGCCCUGCACUCUGGGACAAGCCCUGGAAACGGGGUCUAAUACCGGAUACGAGCCGGGGAGGCAUCUCCCCGGUUGGAAAGCUCCGGCGGUGCAGGAUGAGCCCGCGGCCUAUCAGCUUGUUGGUGAGGUAACGGCUCACCAAGGCGACGACGGGUAGCCGGCCUGAGAGGGCGACCGGCCACACUGGGACUGAGACACGGCCCAGACUCCUACGGGAGGCAGCAGUGGGGAAUAUUGCACAAUGGGCGAAAGCCUGAUGCAGCGACGCCGCGUGAGGGAUGACGGCCUUCGGGUUGUAAACCUCUUUCAGCAGGGAAGAAGCGAGAGUGACGGUACCUGCAGAAGAAGCGCCGGCUAACUACGUGCCAGCAGCCGCGGUAAUACGUAGGGCGCGAGCGUUGUCCGGAAUUAUUGGGCGUAAAGAGCUCGUAGGCGGCUUGUCGCGUCGGUUGUGAAAGCCCGGGGCUUAACCCCGGGUCUGCAGUCGAUACGGGGCAGGCUAGAGUUCGGUAGGGGAGAUCGGAAUUCCU
rnacentral:rRNA from 1 species